GUUUUUAUAAUUUAAAAAAAAUAUUGGUCUUGUAAAUCAAACUUAAGAAUAAUUCUUUAAAAACU
rnacentral:tRNA from 1 species